rnacentral:lncRNA from 1 species
UGCCAUGCCAUGCAUAAUUAAAUGGACAUGCAUCAUAUUUGAUUGUGCAUCAUGUCAUUAAUAUGUUGUGGUGUUUAUUUUGUGUUUAUUGUUGUUUCCGGAUUGUUUCUUAUCGAUAGAGUUCCGAACCCCUUUGGAGUGUGAGUCUUCAUUCGACAACGUUGGUUCGUCUGCUUUACGGAUUCGCUCUUCUUCCAAGCGGGAUCACAUGCAAGAUGAUCAUUUCCCAAGAUACCACUACUAUCAUUGCUAUGCUAGUUGUCUUGUUUCUGUCGCUAUAUCUUGCUGCCUACCACCUGUUAAUGUCAGCCUUCCAACAUUGCCAUAAAAGAC